rnacentral:rRNA from 1 species
UACAGAGGGGGCAAGCGUUAUUCGGAAUUAUUGGGCGUAAAGGGCGCGUAGGCGGCCAUUCAAGUGACGGGUGAAAGCCCUCGGCUUAACCGAGGAACUGCCUGUCAGACUGGAUGGCUUGAGACCGGGAGAGGUGAGUGGAAUUCCCAGUGUAGCGGUGAAAUGCGUAGAGAUCCGGAAGAACACCGGUGGCGAAGGCGGUUGGCUGGGCCGUGGCUGACACUGAGGCGCGACAGCGUGGGGAGCAAACAGG